rnacentral:rRNA from 1 species
UACGUAGGGGGCAAGCGUUGUCCGGAUUUAUUGGGCGUAAAGCGCACGCAGGCGGUCUGUUCAGUUUGGAGUGACAGUUCCUGGCUCAACCGGGAAAGUGCUUCGAAUACUGGCGGACUUGAGGGCUUCAGAGGGACACGGAAUUCCGGGUGGAGUGGUGAAAUGCGUAGAGAUCCGGAAGAACACCAAGGCGAAGGCAGUGUCCUGGCUCGUUUCUGACGCUCAAGCACGAAAGCGAGGAGAGCGAACAGG